GAUGAUGAAUCCCGUCCGGACCUGCACUUAGCUGCCAGCAGUGGCGACGACAGCGAGGCGGGGAUGUCGCAGAGGUCGCGCUCGCGCUUGGCCCCGGCGCGAGGCGACUCCGCGUCCGCCGCCGCCGGCGACUCCUCGGGGACUCCGCCCGCGACGAAUCCGAGCUGCAGUAGCCGUUCUCCGCCGACGACAUGGGUAGAUCCCUGGCUCGCUCGCUCGCUCGCCGCCGCCUCCUCGGUGCCCACGCCCGCCCGGCCGGAGCAGCGCACGGAGCCCCGCCUCGCCUCGCCUCCCCCCAACGCCCGCGGCUCCGGAUGGCUCCUCGUCAUGGAUCCUCGUCUGAUGGGCAUUGAGUAGGCAUCCGGGAGGGUGUUGUUCGUGGUGCUGCGAGGCCUCCCUUGGAGGCGUGCAGGCCAACCUCGUUGAGAUCCCGAGUGAGGGCGACCAUGACACGCGGGUCUCCCUCCUAGGCCUCCCAUCGCUAUCCGUCGCCAAGUUGAUGCAAGAUGAAGGGUUGUGUGCCAUAGAGGGAUUUCCAGGAGUUUCAGUUUUUCAGGUUUAAAUAGUUUCACCUAAUUUGCAAUUUAUUUACAUAAGAGAUCACUUGUUGGUAUUAUUAUUUCAGGGCAACUUGCUUAGGGAUGCAGCUUCAGUUAGUUCAGCUAUAUGAACAUGCUGAGGGGACAUGUAUACUGAGUGCCAUCAAGUUCAGAACCAAACUUUGAUGCUGCUGGUUCAUUCUCUUGAUGAAACCUAUCUUUUGUUGUUUCUGUUCUAUUUUGUUGUCUUGAGCCUGUAACUAGUUCUGAUACAUGGAAAAAAUUGUAUGUGAUCCAUUAUUUUGGUGUCAUACUGGAUGCAAACAUUAUUGAUAUGAGGUUAUAAUUGGGGCUGUAAUUGCUUAUCGUGACUUCUAGGCUGGAAAUUUUGUUUUGGUUAAUGGGUUGUGUAUAAAGCCGAAUUUGGUUAGCUAAUAAUAAAUCUUGGGCUGAAAUCAGGCCUACUUUGAAUUA